UACGACUAUAUCACGUUAAAACACCAGUUCUCGUACGAUCACCCAAGUUAAGCAACGUUGAACCUGGUCAGUACCUACAUGGGUGACCGUUUGGGAAUACCACGGGC